rnacentral:tRNA from 1 species
UCCUCCAUAGCUCAGUUGGUUAGAGCACCUGACUGUUAAUCAGGGUGUCCCUGGUUCAAGUCCAGGUGGGGGAG